UAUACCGAUGAUGACUUGUUCUGACGAUAUUAGUCAUGGACGAUGACUACAAUUAAAAGUCUGAGGUUCAC